GCAGGAAUAGCUUAUUAAAAGCGUGGCACUGAAAAUGCCAAGAUAGAACCACAAACUCUCUCCAGCA
rnacentral:tRNA from 1 species